UUUCCGACGGAAGGUUAAUCCGCGUCGGAUUAGUCGGUCCUAAGCCCAGGCUGAAAGGCGUAAGCGAUGGACAACAGGUUAAUAUUCCUGUACCACCUAGGUGGAGUGAUGGGGGGACGCAGGAGGGUAGGUCAGCCUCUUACUGGAUUGAGGUGCUAAGCCUGUAGGGAGAUGAGAGAGCCAGGGAAAUCCGGUUCUUGAUCCUGAGGGGUGGGCGGAGCGUUUCGGCGCCACAAGUGACUGAGCCCAUACUGUCAAGAAAAGCCUCUAAGCGUUGAUACCUGGGUGCCCGUACCGAAAACCGACACAGGUGGACGGGUAGAGAAUACCAAGGGGAUCGGGAGAACCUUCGUUAAGGAAUUAGGCAACAUGACUCCGUAACUUCGGGAUAAGGAGUGCCGCAGUAGGGUGAGAUGGCUAACGUUAUCGAGCUCGAGACGGCCGCAGAGAAGUGGCCCUACCGACUGUUUACCAAAAUCACAGGUCUCUGCUAACGCGCAAGCGGAAGUAUAGGGGCUGACGCCUGCCCAGUGCCGGAAGGUUAAAGGGAGAGGUUAGCGCAAGCGAAGCUUUGAACUGAAGCCCCGGUGAACGGCGGCCGUAACUAUAACGGUCCUAAGGUAGCGAAAUUCCUUGUCGGGUAAGUUCCGACCCGCACGAAAGGCGUAACGAGUGGGGCACUGUCUCGACGAAGGACCCGGUGAAAUUGAAAUAGGCGUGAAGAUGCGUCUUACCCGCAGCAGGACAAAAAGACCCCGUGGAGCUUUACUGCAGCCUGGCAUUGUGUUAGGGCUGAAUCUGUGUAGGAUAGCUGGGAGACUGGGAAACUGGGGCGCUAGCCUCGGUGGAGUCGUCCUUGGAAUACCAGCCUGAUUCAGCUUUGACCCUAACCUGCGGCCCUGAUCGGGCGUGGGGACAGUACCAGGUGGGCAGUUUGACUGGGGCGGUCGCCUCCUAAAAGGUAACGGAGGCGCCCAAAGGUUCCCUCAGGCUGAAUGGAAACCAGCCGCAGAGUGUAAAGGCAUAAGGGAGCUUGACUGCGAGACCUACAAGUCGAGCAGAGACGAAAGUCGGGCUUAGUGAUCCUACGGCUCCGAGUGGAAGGGCCGUGGCUUAACGGACAAAAGCUACCCCGGGGAUAACAGGCUGGUGGUGCCCAAGAGUUCACAUCGACGGCACCGCUCGGCACCUCGAUGUCGGCUCGUCGCAUCCUGGGGCUGAAGUAGGUCCCAAGGGUUGGGCUGUUCGCCCAUUAAAGCGGUACGCGAGCUGGGUUCAGACCGUCGUGAGACAGGUCGGUCUCUAUCCGCUGUGGGCGUAGGGGAUUUGAGGGGAGCUGCUCCUAGUACGAGAGGACCGGAGUGGACCAACCGCUGGUGUGCCAGUUGUCCCGCCCGGGGCAUAGCUGGGUAGCUAAGUUGGGCAGAGAUAACCGCUGAAAGCAUCUAAGUGGGAAACUUGCCCCAGGAUGAGAUCCCCCUGAAGUGCACUGGAAGACGACCAGUUUGAUAGGCGGCAGGUGUACGCACAGCAAUGUGUUGAGCUAAGCCGUACUAAUGCACGAUCGGCUUAAUUCA
rnacentral:rRNA from 1 species